UCCCGGUUGGCCCGGGCAGUCUCGCGUGAAAAAUACAACACACGACAAGGGUUGCGCUCGUUGCGGGACUUAACCCAACAUCUCACGACACGAGCUGACGACGGCCAUGCAGCACCUGUCACUGCGCUCCUUACGGCACUCCACUGUUUCCAGCGGGUUCGCAGGAUGUCAAACCUCGGUAAGGUUCUUCGCGUAGCUUCGAAUUAAACCACAUCAUCCACCGCUUGUGCGGGUCCCCGUCAAUUCCUUUGAGUUUUAAGCUUGCGCUCGUACUCCCCAGGCGGCACACUUAACGCGUUAGCUUCGCAGCACAGGGGGUCGAUACCCCAUACUACUAGUGUGCAUCGUUUACGGCGUGGACUAC
rnacentral:misc_RNA from 1 species